rnacentral:rRNA from 1 species
AAAGUGGAGCAAUCCAUGAGUAAAGUGGCGUACGGGUGAGUAACACGUGACUAACCUACCCUUGAGUGGGGAAUAACCUCGGGAAACCGGGGCUAAUACCGCAUAACACCUUCGGGUCAAAGGAGCAAUUCGCUUAAGGAGGGGGUCGCGGCUGAUUAGCUAGUUGGUGGGGUAAUGGCCUACCAAGGCAAUGAUCAGUAUCCGGCCUGAGAGGGCGCACGGACACACUGGAACUGAAACACGGUCCAGACUCCUACGGGAGGCAGCAGUGGGGAAUUUUGCACAAUGGGGGAAACCCUGAUGCAGCAACGCCGCGUGGAGGAUGAAGUCCCUUGGGAUGUAAACUCCUUUCGACCGGGACGAUAAUGACGGUACCGGUGGAAGAAGCCCCGGCUAACUCUGUGCCAGCAGCCGCGGUAAUACAGAGGGGGCAAGCGUUGUUCGGAAUUAUUGGGCGUAAAGGGUGCGUAGGCGGUGCGGUAAGUCUUCUGUGAAAUCUCCGGGCUCAACUCGGAGCCUGCAGGAGAAACUGCCGUGCUUGAGUAUGGGAGAGGUGAGUGGAAUUCCUGGUGUAGCGGUGAAAUGCGUAGAUAUCAGGAGGAACACCUGUGGCGAAAGCGGCUCACUGGACCAUAACUGACGCUGAGGCACGAAAGCUAGGGGAGCAAACAGGAUUAGAUACCCUGGUAGUCCUAGCCCUAAACGAUGAUUGCUUGGUGUAGCAGGUACCCAAUCCUGCUGUGCCGCAGCUAACGCGUUAAGCAAUCCGCCUGGGGAGUACGGUCGCAAGGCUGAAACUC